rnacentral:rRNA from 1 species
AGUGAACGCUGGCGGUAGGCCUAACACAUGCAAGUCGAACGGCAGCACAGUAAGAGCUUGCUCUUACGGGUGGCGAGUGGCGGACGGGUGAGGAAUACAUCGGAAUCUACUUUUUCGUGGGGGAUAACGUAGGGAAACUUACGCUAAUACCGCAUACGACCUACGGGUGAAAGCAGGGGAUCUUCUGACCUUGCGCGAUUGAAUGAGCCGAUGUCGGAUUAGCUAGUUGGCGGGGUAAGGGCCCACCAAGGCGACGAUCCGUAGCUGGUCUGAGGGGAUGAUCAGCCACACUGGAACUGAGACACGGUCCAGACUCCUACGGGAGGCAGCAGUGGGGAAUAUUGGACAAUGGGCGCAAGCCUGAUCCAGCCAUACCGCGUGGGUGAAGAAGGCCUUCGGGUUGUAAAGCCCUUUUGUUGGGAAAGAAAAGCAGCAGGUUAAUACCCCGCUGUUCUGACGGUACCCAAAGAAUAAGCACCGGCUAACUUCGUG